rnacentral:tRNA from 1 species
UGAGAUGUAGCUCAGUGGUAGAGUGCAUACUUAGAGUGUGUAUGAUUCUGGGUUUGAUUGCCAGCACCACUA